rnacentral:lncRNA from 1 species
AAAUCUCUUUGGGCAAUCUUCUAAGCAUUGCCCAUGGUGCCAGCCCUGGCAUCCAGUCUAAAGUAGUCACUGAGUCUGCAAGACAAGAAAAAGACCAGCAUCUCCAGAAAGGUCCUGUCAGAGGUGCCCAGCUAUCAAUUAUCUGAAUAGAGUGCAGAGGAAGAGACUUGUGCUCUCCUCUGGCUCUGUGAGACCCUUGAUGCAUGUUUCAGUCCAGCAU